GUGGUAAUGCCGGAUGCUCCAGUUGACCGCAUGGUCUUCUGGGAAAGCUUUCGCGGUAUGGGAUGGGGUCGCGUCCUAUCAGCUUGACGGCGGGGUAACGGCCCACCGUGGCUUCGACGGGUAGCCGGCCUGAGAGGGCGACCGGCCACAUUGGGACUGAGAUACGGCCCAGACUCCUACGGGAGGCAGCAGUGGGGAAUAUUGCACAAUGGGCGCAAGCCUGAUGCAGCGACGCCGCGUGAGGGAUGGAGGCCUUCGGGUUGUAAACCUCUUUUAUCGGGGAGCAAGCGAGAGUGAGUUUACCCGUUGAAUAAGCACCGGCUAACUACGUGCCAGCAGCCGCGGUAAUACGUAGGGUGCAAGCGUUAUCCGGAAUUAUUGGGCGUAAAGGGCUCGUAGGCGGUUCGUCGCGUCCGGUGUGAAAGUCCAUCGCUUAACGGUGGAUCCGCGCCGGGUACGGGCGGGCUUGAGUGCGGUAGGGGAGACUGGAAUUCCCGGUGUAACGGUGGAAUGUGUAGAUAUCGG
rnacentral:rRNA from 1 species